rnacentral:misc_RNA from 1 species
GUGAAUCAUCGAAUCUUUGAACGCAAAUUGCACUCUCUGGUAUUCCGGAGAGUAUGCCUGUUUGAGGGUCAGUUUUAAUAAAAAUCGGUGUGGUUGCUGCCUUUCGUGGUGACGCACGGGAUGUGGGUUGUCUUGCCUUCGGGUAAGGGACCUAAAAUUUUGCAUGAUUUGUUCGAACGUAUUUAAAUGACUUUACGUACGUUUGCGAUAUCGAAUACUUGGUGUGGUCUUCCUCAUG